GCAUAUCAAUAAGCGGAGGAAAAGAAACCAACAGGGAUUGCCCUAGUAACGGCGAGUGAAGCGGCAACAGCUCAAAUUUGAAAUCUGGCCCUAGGCCCGAGUUGUAAUUUGUAGAGGAUGCUUUUGGUGACGUGCUUACCGAGUCCCCUGGAAUGGGGCGCCACAGAGGGUGAGAGCCCCGUAUGGUUUGCCGCCGAACCUUUGUAAAGCUCCUUCGACGAGUCGAGUAGUUUGGGAAUGCUGCUCUAAAUGGGAGGUAAAUUUCUUCUAAAGCUAAAUACCGGCCAGAGACCGAUAGCGCACAAGUAGAGUGAUCGAAAGAUGAAAAGCACUUUGAAAAGAGGGUUAAAUAGCACGUGAAAUUGUUGAAAGGGAAGCGCUUGUGACCAGACUCGCGCCGGGCGGAUCAUCCAGCGUUCUCGCUGGUGCACUCCGCCCGGCUCGGGCCAGCAUCGGUUUUCGCCGGGGGACAAAAGCCGCGGGAACGUGGCCCCCUUCGGGGGGUGUUAUAGCCCGUGGCAGAAUACCCCGGCGGGGACCGAGGACCGCGCUUCGGCAAGGAUGCUGGCGUAAUGGUCACCAGCGACCCGUCUUGAAACACGGACCGAGGAGUCAAGCAUUAGUGCGAGUGUUUGGGUGUAAAACCCGCACGCGUAAUGAAAGUGAACGUAGGUGAGAGCUUCGGCGCAUCAUCGACCGAUCCUGAAGUUUACGGAUGGAUUUGAGUAGGAGCAUUAACGCUUGGACCCGAAAGAUGGUGAACUAUACUUGAAUAGGGUGAAGCCAGAGGAAACUCUGGUGGAGGCUCGCAGCGGUUCUGACGUGCAAAUCGAUCGUCAAAUUUGAGUAUAGGGGCGAAAGACUAAUCGAACCAUCUAGUAGCUGGUUACCGCCGAG
rnacentral:rRNA from 1 species